rnacentral:rRNA from 1 species
AGAUUGAACGCUGGCGGAAUGCUUUACACAUGCAAGUCGAACGGCAGCACGGGGGCAACCCUGGUGGCGAGUGGCGAACGGGUGAGUAACACAUCGGAACGUGCCCAGUCGUGGGGGAUAACUACGCGAAAGCGUAGCUAAUACCGCAUACGAACUCUGGUUGAAAGCGGGGGACUCGCAAGAGCCUCGCGCGAUUGGAGCGGCCGAUGGCAGAUUAGGUAGUUGGUGGGGUAAAGGCUCACCAAGCCGACGAUCUGUAGCUGGUCUGAGAGGACGACCAGCCACACUGGGACUGAGACACGGCCCAGACUCCUACGGGAGGCAGCAGGUGGGGAAUUUUGGACUAAGUGGGCGCGAAGCCUGAUCCGAGCCAUUCCGCGUGCAGGUAUGGAACGUCCCGUCGGUUAGUAAACUGUCGUUUUUAGUAACGGUAAACGAAAACGCGACGUUA